ACUUGGGAUGCAAGGAAAGAUACACCUGUGUAUCCUCACUCAUGACUUCUCAGGAGGCUUUUUCGCUCCUCAUUGCAAGCAUCCUCGAGGUGCAAUUAAAGAACUGAGAUGUCCUGCAAGACAGCUGAGCUCGAUCGGUUUCCGGGUCACGGGCUGGAGGACAGAGGAGCGAGGGAAUUGAAGAGCACCCAAUCUGUUUGUCUGAACAGGGAUGUUACUAGACCAAAACAAUUGACGAACAGAAAUCAAGACUCAUCAGACCAGGCAACAUUUUUCCAGUCUUCAACUGUCCAAUUUUGGCUUCAAGAACUCCACAUCCCAUCAGACGGCAAGCCCCGAAGCAUUUUAUUCAGAAAAAAACCUGUCGGAGUGACACAUUAAGAACAAACUGGAAAAGACAACCCAAAAUCCAGUGCUCAGCUUAAAGCACGAGGAGAAGUCGCUGACGCCAGCAACGGGUGAAAUACAGAAGAGCCCACACUCUUUCACACUGGCUUAAGCGUUCAUCUUUGUCAAUCAUCCUCAAACACUUUCUGUGGGGUAUCUCUGCUGGACACCUGCAAACAAACCAUUCUGGAGCAAGGAGGUGACAGACUCGCCCUUCAGAGCUUAAUCUGCAUGCAGCAAAAGAAAAGGCCGGAAGUAUAGUCUGUUUUUACGUGUACACAAACGCGGUCGAACGCACAGCCUUGCAAAGUAUAGUUUGACUUGUACGUUUGACGCAUACGCAUUCUCCUGCAUGUACGGAUUAUGCGUACAAUGUACAUGGGGUUUAAAAAUCCGGCGGUGCACAAUGGUACAGAGGUUACCAUCAAAUGUAUCAUUUACAUUUAAAGUUGGGUCUGAGUGUUUGAGCUUGCUUUUCAUGUUUAUUUAAAUUGUCUUAUAAUCUAUCUGCAUAUCAGAAACACUUGUUUUUAGCGACACUGGUGGCCAUUAAGUGAACUGCAGCCAGUAAU